rnacentral:rRNA from 1 species
UACGGGAGGCAGCAGGGGGAAGUAUUGCACAAUGGGCGCAAGCCUGAUGCAGCCAUGCCGCGUGUAUGAAGAAGGCCUUCGGGUUGUAAAGUACUUUCAGUCGUGAGGAAGGUGUUAAGGUUAAUAACCUUAGCAAUUGACGUUAGCGACAGAAGAAGCACCGGCUAACUCCGUGCCAGCAGCCGCGGUAAUACGGAGGGUGCGAGCGUUAAUCGGAAUUACUGGGCGUAAAGGGCACGCAGGCGGUUAAUUAAGUUGGAUGUGAAAUCCCCGGGCUUAACCUGGGAAUGGCAUUCAAGACUGGUUAGCUAGAGUCUUGUAGAGGGGGUAGAAUUCCAUGUGUAGCGGUGAAAUGCGUAGAGAUGUGGAGGAAUACCGGUGGCGAAGGCGGCCCCUGGACAAAGACUGACGCUCAUGUGCGAAAGCGUGGGGAGCAAACAGGGAUUAGAU